rnacentral:siRNA from 1 species
UCUGCAGCAACCGCUUAAUGC